GGGCUAUACUGCAGUCGAGCGAAUCGAUGGGAGCUUGCUCCCUGAGAUUAGCGGCGGACGGGUGAGUAACACGUGGGCAACCUGCCUAUAAGACUGGGAUAACUUCGGGAAACCGGAGCUAAUACCGGAUACGUUCUUUUCUCGCAUGAGAGAAGAUGGAAAGACGGUUUACGCUGUCACUUAUAGAUGGGCCCGCGGCGCAUUAGCUAGUUGGUGAGGUAAUGGCUCACCAAGGCGACGAUGCGUAGCCGACCUGAGAGGGUGAUCGGCCACACUGGGACUGAGACACGGCCCAGACUCCUACGGGAGGCAGCAGUAGGGAAUCUUCCGCAAUGGACGAAAGUCUGACGGAGCAACGCCGCGUGAACGAAGAAGGCCUUCGGGUCGUAAAGUUCUGUUGUUAGGGAAGAACAAGUACCAGAGUAACUGCUGGUACCUUGACGGUACCUAACCAGAAAGCCACGGCUAACUACGUGCCAGCAGCCGCGGUAAUACGUAGGUGGCAAGCGUUGUCCGGAAUUAUUGGGCGUAAAGCGCGCGCAGGUGGUUCCUUAAGUCUGAUGUGAAAGCCCACGGCUCAACCGUGGAGGGUCAUUGGAAACUGGGGAACUUGAGUGCAGAAGAGGAAAGUGGAAUUCCAAGUGUAGCGGUGAAAUGCGUAGAGAUUUGGAGGAACACCAGUGGCGAAGGCGACUUUCUGGUCUGUAACUGACACUGAGGCGCGAAAGCGUGGGGAGCAAACAGGAUUAGAUACCCUGGUAGUCCACGCCGUAAACGAUGAGUGCUAAGUGUUAGAGGGUUUCCGCCCUUUAGUGCUGCAGCUAACGCAUUAAGCACUCCGCCUGGGGAGUACGGCCGCAAGGCUGAACUCAAAGGAAUUGACGGGGGCCCGCACAAGCGGUGAGCAUGUGUUUAAUUCGAAGCAACGCGAGGACCUUACCAGGUCCUGACAUCU
rnacentral:rRNA from 1 species